GCCGCGGUAUUUUGACCGUGCAAAGGUAGCAUAAUCAUUAGCCUAUUAAUUGUGGGCUCGUAUGAAUGGUUGGACGAAAUAUUUACUGUCUCGUGUUUAUUUUUUAUAAUUUAAAUUUUGAGUUAAAAUGCUUGAAUUUUUUUAUAGGACGAGAAGACCCUAUAGAUCUUUAUUUUUAAUUUGUUUAUUUAUUUUGGUUUAUUAUUUUUUGACUUAUAUAAUUAUUUUGUUGGGGUGACAAGGGGAUAUUUAAAACUCUUUAUUUUUUUUUUUCAUUGAUUUAUGUAUUUUUGACCUUUUAUUAUUGUUUUAANAUAUANAUACCUUAGGGAUAACAGCGUAAUUCUCCUUUAGAGUUCAUAUCGACAGGGGANAUUGCGACCUCGAUGUUGGAUUAAGAUUAUAAUUGGGUGCANAAGCUCAAUCAUUAGGUCUGUUCGACCUUUAAAUUCUUACAUGAUCUGA
rnacentral:rRNA from 1 species